AAUGAACGUUGGCGGCAUGGAUUAGGCAUGCAAGUCGAGCGAGAAGGGUUUUGAAGCUUGCUUUAGAACCCGGAAAGCGGCGAAAGGGAGAGUAACGAGUAGUUAUCUACCCCAAGGCCCGGAAUGGCUGCGGGAAACUGCAGGUAAUGCCGGAUAAUAUCCCCGGAUCAAAGGUGUGAUUCCGCCUUGGGAGGAGACUGCUUUGUACUAGCUUGUUGGUAGGGUAAUGGCCUACCAAGGCUACGAUGCAUAGCGGGCGUGAGAGCGUGGCCCGUCUCACUGGGACUGAAACACUGCCCAGACACCUACGGGUGGCUGCAGUCGAGAAUCUUCGGCAAUGGGCGAAAGCCUGACCGAGCGAUGCCGCGUGCGGGAUGAAGGCCCUCGGGUUGUAAACCGCUGUCGUAGAGGAGAAAGGUCUCGUGAAGAGCGAGAUUUGAUCUAUUCUAGGAGGAAGUCGGGGCUAAGUUCGUGCCAGCAGCCGCAGUAAAAC
rnacentral:rRNA from 1 species